CACACUGACAUUUAGGUAUAGAGAUGUACUUUUCCUCAUGCCAUUUGAUAAUGAAACAUUUACCUGUUGAAAAGUUUUGGAAGGAAAAAUCAUGACUUUACAAACUUAUUCAUAUUUUGGUUGUUUCGGUAAAAGAUUUGGGUUUAUCACUGAUAUACUUGAAGAGCAUGCCUAUUUUCUGGAAUUGUGAACGAGCUGAACAUUAUAUUUUUGAGUUAUUUACUGUACCACUUUUUAUUAUAUUGUUAUGAGUUAUUAUUGGCUAUUGGUGUUGGGCCUUGACCUGUGUUCCAGCUCGUCACUACUUUCAACCUAAGGUUAGGUUUGUUACUUAUUGAGUACAUGGGGUCGGUUGUACUCAUAUUACACUUCUGUACCUUGCGUGCAGAUACUGGAUGUUGAUGCUGUUGUGAUCGACGAGAGCGGGAUUUGAAGACAUUCCUGCAUUCCGUUUGUAGCUGCCUCUUAUUCAUGGUAGCCUUAGACUUAUAAAGAUCUGUUUAUGUACAUUUUAAAUAGAUGAUGUAUUUAUUUCACACCAGUUUUGUAAAUUCUAAUCUUUGAAACUCAUGAUUUAUACUACCAGUCCUUGGGAAGUUCUUGUAUAAAAGCGGUUGUAAUUUCAUUUCUUUUCAUAAUAAAUCUCAUUUGAAUUGGUUAGUUGUUAAUUGGCUUACCUGACUAGUUGAGUUAGGUGUCAUCUCGAUUCAGUAGAUUUUGGGUCGUGACACGUUGUAAGUGGUAAAUUAGCUUUAUUUCGUAAGUAGCACCCUGCCAAAUGGGUUGCUACAACAUCUGACCUAUUGCUAAUUUCGUCACCUGAUUAAUCAAUUUGGACAUAUCUGUCGUUAUAGUUGUUAGCUCAUCUAGAUCAACUACACAUGCUACCCUAUAUUUAAUUGUCGUUCAUGGUUCCCCAUCACCUUACCAAUUAUGAUCAUUCGCUGUGAAGUUAUACAAGAAGGUCUGGAUUUCGAUGUAAGGUUUUCCAUGUAGCUAUCCCCACAUGUCGAGUCAAGAUUCAUCUUUGAUGACACAUCCAUCCCAUCAACAAAAGUGUGACCCAAUACCGCGUCAGUCCGAUAGUGAUAUGGGUAGUCUCUGAGCAGUUUCUUGUAUCUUCCCAUGCUUGACAAAGAGUUUCUCCAUCCCAUUAUUGAAACCCAAGAAUCUAUCUUCUCAGUAACUUUGUCUUCUUUGUGGGGAAGAACCUCAUCAAAACAUUUCGGGCUAAAUCAUCCCAAGUGCGGAUCAUAGUAGCAAGCUCUUUUUGCAACCAUUUUUUGCUUUCCCCAGUAGUGAAAAGGGAAACAAGUUAGUAUGAUGUAAUCCUUGAAAACGUUCAGAUAAUUGUAGGUAUCCGUAGUUUCGAGAAAGUUUUGCAUGUGCCUCUGCGGAUCUUCAUGAGAAAGACCCACAAAUUGCUCUGUGGACUGAAUCAACUGCACCAUGUACUAUUUAAGCUCAAAGUGAGCAGUAAUGUCAGGCUUCAUAAUAGCAUGAGUCAUGUUAGCAAGAUUAUGCCUUAUAGCCUCUAUCACCGACCGCUCGUCGUUUUCUGCCAUCUCUAUUAGUUGUUGUUGGAUUGUGAUGCCCAACUCUGCAGAUCUAGCUUUAGUUUCAGCCUCCCUUCUUAAUCUGUGAGGAGUUCUUUAUAUUUUCAAAUCAAAAGGGAGAAUGUCAUCAAAACUCCUGCUCCUCUACAUUUAAGAGAAAAAUUAAAUCUUUAACGUGUUGACAUCCAAUUUUGCCCCUCUUUUCUUCCAAAUUGUUUACUUGAGCUUCUAAUCUCGUUAAUGACAUAAUAUUAUUUAAUCUGGUAUUUUUAGUACAAUUUAGACUUAUAAUUAUUGCUCAAGUUGUUUUAUUCAAAACUAAUCAAUCAACGAUAUUUUCUUUACAAAUAUCUCUCUUUGUAUUACAUUAACCCUACUUUUAUGUAUAGAAUAUUUUACCCAAGUUAUUUUUUAUAUUAUUUGCAUGGCCGUUGUAAUGAUUGUAUACUAAGAUAGAUUUUGGCAUUUUAAUUCAUAAUCAUUCUGUUUAAGCACUACAACACUAUUUGAUAUAAAUAUCCAUUGCUAGACAUGUCAAGCAAUUUAAUUGUCUACUUAAUAUUAUUAUUGCUAAUUAUUAUAGAUAUUAUUAUUAUUAUUUUGGUCCAAGUUAGAAGUCCAAGUAAAUAAAAGGAAGAAGGGAAACGGUCCAUUACCUUAAGGGACUAGCCCAUUUCAGAUUAUUCCUACCCACAAGAGAAGUCCAAAUCUGCCAACUCAAUAGCCCAAGAACAAGACAAAGUCAGCCCAAAUCCACCCAACCAGCAACCCAAAAUCCUCCACUUAUAGCCCAAUUAUAUAACACUCUAGAACUCCAUCGAAACUACGUCGUUUUGAUAAAUAUGCCAAACUUAAUCUCAGCCAUUGGCACUCUUAAUCCUAUGGUUGGAAUUUAUUACUUCACUCUCUCUCUCUCCUCUNNNCUUCNUNNUCUCUNNNNNNNNNNNNNNNNNNNNNNNNNNNNNNNNNNNNNNNNNNNNNNNNNNNNNNNNNNNNNNNNNNNNNNNNNNNNNNNNNNNNNNNNNNNNNNNNNNNNNNNNNNNNNNNNNNNNNUCUUACUUACUACUUGUAGUUAGUUAUUACUUACUACUCUCUCUCUCUCUCUCUCUCUCUCUCUCUCUCUCUCUCUUCACGUGAUGUCAGUUGACCAAGACCCCAUAUUUUCUAUUUCUCUACUUCAUCUUCUCUUUACUUUAUUUGAACAGAGGAGACAGAACUCACCAAAAAUGGUGAAAAGUCGGGCUGUCAUCUAUGUCACCACUGAUCAAGACAGAACGGCUCAUAUGGCCGUUUGAAUUUCAAAUCCCGCCCUGAAAUUAAGCCCUAGAUUUUUCAUUAUAAAUAAUGGUGUUUUGAGGCCAUUUGAGAAAAAACGGGGGCCGUUGCCUUCACCCUUCGAAACCAAAUUCUUGGCCGCUCUUCUCCUAUCUAAAAUUUACUCUUUGCCUAUUAGCUAUCUCCUAAAGAAAAGCUUUAACUACAAGUCUACAACACCUCUACUGUCUCUAUUUGGUAUUUACCAUAGCAGAAAUUUGGUUAUCCUUUAUUUAUUUUAGUCGAGUCUGCUUUUGUCCGAGAGGGAGGAGUAAAGUCGAGAUCGAAGUUCGAUAGCGCAUCCACGACCCUCCUCAGUUCACUGCCCUGCAAAAGGUACGUAUCUUCUCCUUUCGCUCUCAUUUUGAUUCUAAUUAGAGCAUGUUCGAUUCCUGGUGCGUGUUUGCUUCGAGGGUUGUUAGUUUCUAUUAAGUUUUUAUGUUUGGUGCUAUAAAAAUGGCUCUAAUUUAUGUUUGUUUAAGGGAAUGACUCUAUGACUAAAGUUGUUAGCAACAAUCCUUCAAGGAGAUUAUGUUCUGGUGUGUAUUGUUAGAAGCAUGCCUGACUGGUAUUUGAUAAAAUUCUCACAUGAAAAUAAAUACCCAUUUCCUUUUAGAUACUAUGAUUUUAAGAAGGAUUUUAUCAUGAGCUAGUCGUCUUGCAAAACAUUUAUUUGCUAUUGUAAAUUAGAACCCUUUUUGCCUAAACAUCAUGCUUAGGAUUUCAAUUAGCUUGUUUAAGAAUAGAUUUUGUCUAAAUGUACACUGUUAAAUGAAUACUUGAUUUACUUGUGUCUUCACACUUUAGACAGCAUGUCCCUAGGAGUUUAUGUUUUUACUCAUCGUGUAAAAAAUGAGAUCCCUUCUUUAGUGUGAACUGUAAGUGUUCAUGAAUGACUAUAAGCGAUUUGCUUACUUAAGGUAAUUUAAGAGGAUAAUACUUAGACAAUAAAUUAUUACUUAUUCAUUUAAGCACAGAAGAAACAUAUUCUUGUUGAAAUAUGAAUGUAUCUACUUUUCUUGCUUUUUAAGAGAUAGAAAAUAUGACUCUGGGAUUAGCAAAUGUAGUAUCAUGCCUAUAAGACAUUGAUGGAAAGGAGAUGAUAUGUGUAUAUCUAAUAUGUUAACCUGGAUGUGUUGAAAUUGCGUCCCCCAUGAUUUAGUUUAUGGAACGAGAACAAAAAGAAGUAGCAAUGAAUACAUUUUCUGUUAAUGGUAUCAAGUAAAGGUUUUCAUGAAUUCUUGUUUAGUUUGCAGUCCUAUUUCUUGGUCUAAAUUGUGAGCAUGUAUCACGUUUGGGAAAAACUUAUAUUUUACAUUAACUGAUUAAAUAGCAUGUGAUGAGGUAGUGAAUGAUUUGGUAAGAACUCUGUCAAAUGAUAUACCUAUUAGAAUUUUUAGUGAAGCCCCCUCAUGAGUUGAUAUAAUGCUUAGUGUUCUUUUAGCAAAGACCAUAUAUAUACCCUGUUUUCCUUAACAUUGUAACUGUUUGCGUUUGUCUCCUAGACUUUAAUAUAGGUGUCUUGUUUGUAGUUGAUUUUAUUUCGAACACAUUAAAUGGCUUUGAUUAGCGAACUUGUUUGUAGUUGAUUUUAUUUCGAACACAUUAAAUGGCUUUGAUUAGCGAAGAAUUAACACAAAAUUGACUUUAUUAGCAUGAAUUUCUGGUUUUAAAAGUUGUUUGCAAACUGGAUAACAUUGUGACUUUAUCCAUUUUAUCUCUUACUAUCAAUUUUAAAGAAUCAAUAGUUCGCUGCUCUAAUUUUUUAUCUUUAUUUCUUUCUCUACAUGUACACCCUGGAGCAAAUGGAGUCUUAAUUCGAGACUCUCGCAGCGGAGUCUCAUAGAGACUCAACGCUACCACCACCACAUGGAGUCAUUGCAUACCAUCUUCCUUAGAGCACCGGAUAGCGAGAAAAACAAGCGAAAUGCUUGGGGAAGCCUAUGGCAUCUUUCAUUCAUGCUAUUUGACAUUUACUUGUGUGAUUUAAGUUUAUCUCCAAUUUCUGGGAUUAUAUGUUAAAAUUCGUGUUAGCAUAGUAUGUUUACUCUUAUUGUCGAUUUGGUACUAUCUUAAUCACAUAAAUGUAGCCUUUAGAGUUUAGAUAUAGAAACUAAGAAACAUUUUUCUUAAAAUGACCCUUCCAAAACUUUUCUAAUGGCGAUAAUAAGCAUAAGAUGUUUUUCUAAAGAACACAUGUUAAAACUGUCUUUCUUUCCUUUAACAAUAUCCAACGUAGUAAUUUUUUUUUUUUUUUUUAAAAUCUCUUUCUUUUAGGGAUGUCUUAAAUUGUUGGUUUCAUCAAAUCAAAACUAGUUUCUUAAACCUAUUAGAUCCUUAAAACGGUUUAAACAUUUUUCUCAACUUUAAAUAGCUAAGUUAAAAAGAAGUCAGCCGAUACCAAUUACUACAUUUUUUUUACUUAGUUAUAAUUUGUCACCUAGUUGGCAUAUAUUUAGUACUUAAACACUUAGAAGACAUAAAAUUUAGC
rnacentral:lncRNA from 1 species